rnacentral:rRNA from 1 species
GGGUAAACCUGAGAAACCCGAAAGGUCGAACGGGGAGAUUCAACCGCGUCUCGGGCGUCGGCGAGGGGUUGGCCGUUGACGGGUGGCGUUCGCGUCGCUCGCUCGGUCGAUCUCCGUCCGGCCUCGAACGCGUGCACUUCUCCUCUUGUAGGACGUCGCGAUCCGUUGGGUGCCGGUCUAAGGCCCGUCGUGGAGCCCGUACGUACGUUUCGGCGUUACGUGCGGACCGACGGUGUCCCGCCCGGCUCGCCCGACGGUAUGCAUAUGGCGCUGGGCCGCGAUCUGUUCGCGUCCGGCCCGGGGCAAGCUCGGACUAAGCUACGAAAUUCGGACCUAGUGCCGGAUCCGUGCCAGUUCGGCUGUUAGCCUCGGUGUCCUCGGACGGUCCGAAUAAGCGCCGAUCGGCGACGCUAUAGCUUUGGGUACUUUCAGGACCCGUCUUGAAACACGGACCAAGGAGUCUAGCAUGUGCGCGAGUCAUUGGGACUAGCGAAACCUAAAGGCAAAAUGAAAGUGAAGGCACGCUUUACGCGCGCCGAGGGAGGAUGGGCCGCGUCACGACGCGGCUCCGCACUCCCGGGGCGUUUCGUUCUCAUUGCGAGAUGAGGCGCACCCAGAGCGUACACGCUGGGACCCGAAAGAUG